ensembl:lncRNA
AUUGUGACACGGCCCCUCCCCCUUAGACAAGCCCACACCUCUCAGCGCCAGAAAGCUCCACCCCUCUCCCAGCUCCACUCCCUCUCCCACCCAGACCCCCUCCAUAGGCCACUGUGCCCCUUAGUGCCAGAAAGCCCUACCCCAUAGAUAGCUCUGCUCCUCAGCACUAGGCAGUUCCAGCCCCCCCAACUCCAGUCCCCUCCACCCCACACACCCCCUAGCACUGGACCACCCCAGUCUCUUCACUCCCACUGCCCUGGGCAGCUCCAGCUCCUCCCACGCUCCAGACCCCCGCACCCUAACUUACAUUGCACCAGGCCCCUUCCACUUCCUAGGCCUGCCCAGUACCUGCUUUUGCCCUCUCGGGACCCCUAGCCUCUUAGCCUCAGCUUCACCCCCCCUCCACCAUUUCCUUGCUGUAAGGUGCUAGGCACCUUAUGGCCCUGGGUAUUACCUUCUGCCCACUUCAGUUGCCCACCUACAACCCCAGCUCCUUGCCCUUCUGCACUUCUAGGCAGCUACCAGAGACUUCCUGGGAGGAAGCGGAGGCCAGGCCUGCCACAUGGACACAGAUGCACUGAGCAGUCCUUGGGACAGUUCUCGUUCUUCUUCCAGUUGUGAGGAGGAGCCAUAUGGAGGGCUAGCAGUGUCGGAACUCUUGGCUGGUGCUACCAAGUCCUCGUGCAGUCAGGAAGAGGAGGGACGUAAGAAGCAGCAAAGCCAUCAAGGGAAAGGAGCAGGAGUUCCACAGCAGGAUGGUUCCUGGAUGAAUAUUGCUUACACCCACUCACAAGUGUCCAGAGCCUCUGCUGAGCGGGAGAACCAUCUUCAGGCACCAAGGAAAAAGGUGGAAAGCAGGAGAGUGGACCAGAAGAACCCUCCGUUUGAGGACUUUAAGGGAAUUCCGAUAGAUCAAGACCCCAAAGAUGCUAAAUCUCAUCAACGUUCCGUGAAGAAUCAGAGAGCCUUUGUUUACCAGCCCAGCUCAACAGAACAUGCUCAAGGAGAUCCACCGCCAUUGGCCAAGCUGACCGUAGCACCAGCUGAAAAAAGAGAGCAGUGCGACAGCUCAGAGGCUCCGUCUGAGAUCAAAAGUCCGAGGCGGAUGCAGCCCCUUGCCAAGAGCACACAAACUGAAGAAUGCUCUCCAAAGCAGACCCAGCCGCCCUGCUUCCCAGAUGGCAGAGGGAACAGGAGCAGCUCUGGGCUUGAGAAGAGGAACUGUCCCCCUCCACUGGGAGGAGCAGGAAGGAAGUGGGCUGAGGGCUCUGAAGUGGAGCGUGAAGAGGAACUGAAAGAGCUUGGUUGGAUUAACUAUGGGUUCACUACGGAGCCAGUGUAUAAAAAGCUUGAUUGUCCCGUGGAGGAAGGAGUUAAAGUGAGGACUGUAACAGAUGUUAGUUAUAAAGAUGACCACUCUGAGAAGGUGAUUCAGCAAAACCUGAGAGAAUUCUUUGGCCUGCUGAGGAUCUUGGUGAACGUGGUCUUCAUUUUCCUUGUUGAGCUGGUCCGCUUUCUUGGCAAGUCAGUGUUCCAGGUGAGUAGGGCCCUUCCCAGAGCUCCAAUGGCCUCCCUGCUCCUAGAAAGGCUCCUAGGAGGAUCAGAUUGUAAUGGUAGUGUUCCUUCAUCAUCGAUGCAGGGUAUUACCAUGACACUGAUUUAACCUCACAUUCCUUUGUUAAAUCUAGAGACCGAAAUGUCUCUAAACAUGCCUAACUAAUAAGCAAUUUACUACAUCCAAAUGGUAACAAAACAUUUACAAGCAUUUGAGCAAGAUACUUACAAAUGGGCUAAACCCCGGGGUGCAUAAACCCAUGAGGGUUAGCUCCAGUGUGGUCAGGCAGGUAUCUGCAAUGAAACCUUUAAAAGUUUACUUUUCUGCACAGUUUAACAAACAAGUGAUGUCAUUGCCAACUAUUGGAUCUUAGCUAAGGCCAGAUGAAAGAAUUUCUUAUAUAUCCAAUUAUUUACUGUACCUGGUACCCAAUUAACUAUGUCUUAUUUCUGUUACUUUAGCCCAAACCUUAAAUAAGAGAAAACCGGUUUAACACACUAGCUCUUCUUUCUUAUGACCUCAUCCUUUUUGAUCACAUGCCUUUGGUCUAUCCCAACUCAAUUUAAAACCAUAGUCCACCAGACAUAAUGUGGGACUGUAAUGGUAGAGGUGGACACAACUUCAAUCCUCUGAAGGAAACAGGAUGUUCUCCAGAACAUUCCUAGGAGACUAGAAUUGAUGCUACAGGGCGUGACGUUAGGUUUGUGGGUGGAUGAGGAGGAGAAAUGGAAAACUCCUCAAAAAUGAAAGUCCUGCUUCUGCUUUAUCAACAUGGCUUCUUUUUAAGUAAUUGCCAAACUCUAAUCAAAACAUGCUUUUCUGUGCUGUUUGGGUAUGCGGGAGAGGGUGAAUUCUGUGUGAGUGAAGCCGUGUGGCCGGUGGAGCCUCUGCCAUCUCAGUGGGGAGAGGUUUUCCUUGAGCAGACCCUCUUGCAGUAGAUCUUCCAUGAGGAGUGUAUGUAUCCCACUUUCUCCUUCUAUAAGUGCUGGUUCCUUUGUAACCAAGCCCUAGCCUAAAUAGUGAAGUCAACAACUCCCAGUGGAGGGGGUGGGGUACAUGGGGUCCAGAGAUACGUUGGCCUUCAGGGAGCACAACUUACUUUUCUAUAUAGAAAAGAGGAUAACCCCUGUAGAGCCCCUGGUUUUUGAGGCCAAUGGCCUUUGCUGCAUAGCCUCAGGAACGUUCUCAAAGUCUGAGACGCUACUGGAACUCCUCAUCCCUUUGAGAGAAGAGUGUGUUCUAGGAAUUGGAGAGCUCAGGGACCUCCAGCAUUGGCUAAUUUUACCUGCAUAGUUGGUUUUGGGAGCCAAAUAAAUUGAUUCAUAAAAGAACUGUCCA